rnacentral:rRNA from 1 species
GAUGAACGCUGGCGGCGUGCCUAAUACAUGCAAGUCGAGCGAACAGACGAGGAGCUUGCUCCUCUGACGUUAGCGGCGGACGGGUGAGUAACACGUGGAUAACCUACCUAUAAGACUGGGAUAACUUCGGGAAACCGGAGCUAAUACCGGAUGAUAUAUUGAACCGCAUGGUUCAAUAGUGAAAGACGGUUUUGCUGUCACUUAUAGAUGGAUCCGCGCUGCAUUAGCUAGUUGGUAAGGUAACGGCUUACCAAGGCGACGAUGCGUAGCCGACCUGAGAGGGUGAUCGGCCACACUGGAACUGAGACACGGUCCAGACUCCUACGGGAGGCAGCAGUAGGGAAUCUUCCGCAAUGGGCGAAAGCCUGACGGAGCAACGCCGCGUGAGUGAUGAAGGUCUUCGGAUCGUAAAACUCUGUUAUUAGGGAAGAACAAAUGUGUAAGUAACUGUGCACGUCUUGACGGUACCUAAUCAGAAAGCCACGGCUAACUACGUG